UGGGGAAUUGUUCACAAUGGGCGCAAGCCUGAUGACGCAACGCCGCGUGGAGGAUGAAGGUCUUCGGAUUGUAAACUCCUGUUGCCCGGGACGAAAAGCUUCGACCUAACACGUCGAAGUCUGACGGUACCGAGUGAGGAAGCCCCGGCUAACUCUGUGCCAGCAGCCGCGGUAAUACAGAGGGGGCAAGCGUUGUUCGGAAUUACUGGGCGUAAAGGGCGCGUAGGUGGCCUUCUAAGUCGAACGUGAAAUCCCUGGGCUCAACCCAGGAACUGCGUCCGAGACUGGGAGGCUUGAAUCCGGGAGAGGGAUGCGGAAUUCCAGGUGUAGCGGUGAAAUGCGUAGAUAUCUGGAGGAACACCGGUGGCGAAGGCGGCAUCCUGGACCGGUAUUGACACUGAGGCGCGAAAGCCAGGGGAGCAAACGGGAUUAGAUACCCAGGUAGUCCCUGAGCGGGCUGGCAAGGCGCAU
rnacentral:rRNA from 1 species